rnacentral:rRNA from 1 species
AGUGAACGCUGGCGGUAGGCCUAACACAUGCAAGUCGAACGGCAGCACAGUAAGAGCUUGCUCUUACGGGUGGCGAGUGGUGGACGGGUGAGGAAUACAUCGGAAUCUACUUUUUCGUGGGGGAUAACGUAGGGAAACUUACGCUAAUACCGCAUACGACCUACGGGUGAAAGCAGGGGUUCUUCGGACCUUUCGCGAUUGAAUGAGCCGAUGUCGGAUUAGCUAGUUGGCGGGGUAAAGGCCCACCAAGGCGACGAUCCGUAGCUGGUCUGAGAGGAUGAUCAGCCACACUGGAACUGAGACACGGUCCAGACUCCUACGGGAGGAAGCAGUGGGGAAUAUUGGACAAUGGGCGCAAGCCUGAUCCAGCCAUACCGCGUGGGUGAAGAAGGCCUUCGGGUUGUAAAGCCCUUUUGUUGGGAAAGAAGAGCAGCAGGUUAAUACCCCGCUGUUCUGACGGUACCCAAAGAAUAAGCACCGGCUAACUUCGUG